CUAUAUAUUACAUGGACUGCCAACUCUACGCACUAAGCCUAUAUUUUUCAAUAAACAAGUCCCGUUCACGGAGGCGUCCUUGGUUGCGUGGUAAAUUGACUUCCGGUAGAUUUUUUUUUACGUAUAAAGAAACCAUUCUCGAAGAUUUUUACCACCACUUUUACAGCAAAUCAUGAAUGGAAACUGAAUUGUUAAAGAAGAUGUUACAGAGGAGCAUACUACUUCCACAAACCUGAUUUGAUUGUCACUAACUUUCAAAUUGAAAGGGAUCUACUACAACUGCUCAUGAAUUUGGAGAUUUUACAGCUAAUAGAGGAACAAAUUUUAUCUGCUUCCACUUAGCCAAACAGCAUGGAAAUAUGCUAUUGUAAUGAGUAGAAGAUAUUUGUCAUUUAGAGUAUCAUGCAACAGCUAAUU